ensembl:lncRNA
UGACAACUCUCCAUCCAGCAAAGGAACAGUUCCACAGUUCUCAGCAUAAUGACACUAACCAUGACCUGACUCUCUCCCACAUCUUAAACCUGUCACAGUAGUAAUUAAAUGACAACAGGAACACUUAACCCAUAGCAUGGUCUGGAGCAAUGGUGUUUUGAAAGCCUGUUGCUGAAGGCUAUUCAAGGAAGUAAUGUCUACCUGGAGCCUGCAGCAAACAGGGCUAAAGCCUCCACCCCACUGGCUGUGGCCCAAGGGCCAAUCAGAAUAACCCCUACCCUGUCUACCUGAGGUUAACAUGUAGGGUGGGGGUCCACUUCCCAAGCCCACAUGGUGGCGCUUCAGCCCCAGUUCAUAAGACCCCCUCCCCUGCUCCCCCUCUUCUCCCAGCCAUCACAACCCUGAGUCUUCCCAGGUGUGGGCCACUUCCUGAAAGUCUUCCUCAAGGGGAUCCUGAGAACCUGGUGGCAAAGCUUGUAGGCCCAGCACAAUGCAGUGACUUCUGUCAUGAGUCAGGCUCAAGUUAAUUCUGAAUCUUGACAUUCUAUUACCCAAAUCUGUCUUCCCUGAACUUGAGGUCAUUUGUUCCCUGCCAAGAACAAGGCAGAGCAUCAUCCACAAAGAGCAGCAGCAACACUGGCACAAGGGGGAAGAGGGGCUUCGGAGCUGUGGGAGAAUCAGCUGAACCGGCCUGUGGUGCUAGGGACACUAACAAGAGAGACAGUGGUGACAAGAGAUACCACAGUGCUCUCCCCAGUGUCAUCAGCAGGUCAGGAUCUGGACAGGCAGGGCAGCCUUGAGGAAUAGUACACAGACCUGCAGGACAAGUGAAGGUUGCACAGUCUUCAAGAUGGGGCUGGGGUGAGUAAUUGGCACAGCCGGGUGGCUCUGAGAAAGUGCAUGGUAAAGGGCCAGCCUGGACCCCAGCGGGGUCUGAGGCUGCUUCAGAAGGAGCCUUAUCAGAAAGCGAGAGGAGGCUGCAGGAGAGGUGGAAAUGAAGGGACUGUGAAUAGUGGCGGGCCCUGAGCCAGCACCGUGGUGCCGGGGGAGGGGGAGGUGUUAGGCAUGGGGAAGAAGAUGGAGAUGAAAAGACGGGCGGACAUAGGCUUUGGUCCCUGCUGCAGAGUAUGGAGAAAAGUGGGAUAGAAACCUCAACAACCCUGUUUCUGGCCCAAGUCACCGGAGAGCUGCUGCUGUCGGAUGCAGGGGCAAGUUCAAGACAGAGGAUUGGUUCAGAGUUUCAAUCACCCCAGCUGUGUUUCAUUCUAACACAGAAGGUAUCGUCGACAAUCUGUGGGUGAUUUAUGGUCCCCUUCUGGAUGUUUUAUCAUUUGGAUUCUCUCCUGCACCCCCAGAGAUGGAGAGAGACAAGGAGAGAGCCUGUCACAAGGAAAGCCCUUCUCUGCCUUUGCCCGUACUCUUGCCAACUUGAGUAGCACCUAAUGAAUGCCUUGCACCGUGGCUACAUCUGCUUCCUCCACACCCUUCCCAUGGCUGCCCUGGAGGCUUGUAGAAGCACAUGCUUUUCGGGGAGGAGUGGAGAGAGAAUUGUCAGAGGUCAUACUUGAAGGUAUCCAGGAUGCCAGGAAUUCCAGAAGAGGACCACCAGCAAGCAGGUCCUGCCUCUUGCUCCUGGCAUUUCCUCCCUCUCAGUGGCCUUCCCUCAUCCCAGCCCGGCCUCUCAUAGGUACAGAUGGUGGCCCCAGAAUCAGCAUGGAUCCCAGAAAGGAAAGUCAGGCUGCAGAGCAAAGCCACAGCCAGCCCUCGAAGCAUGAGUAUGAGUGAGAAGUUCUGUCAACACAUACGGUAGAACUUUGACGUUCACCAUUGCCACCACCAACCCAGCCCUAGAAGACCAACACAGAUACCACACAGAGACACCUCAGGCCCUUCUGGAUCAUCCAUCAAUACAGUUCUCCUGUGUGACUGAGAGCAGGCCCCACACAUCAGCUCAUAACUGACUGUAGUUUUAGUUCCAAGAAGUCUAACGCCCUCUUCUGGCCUCCAUAGUUACUACACAUAUAUGGUGCAUAUAAACCCAUGUAAGCAUUCAUACAUAUACAUAAUAUUGAUGGGGCUGGAGACAUAGCUCAGUGGCUAAGAACACAUACUGCUCUUUCAGAGGACCCAAGUUCAGUUCCCAACACUCAUAAUAGGCAGCUCACAACCAAAAGAUCUAAAGCCCUCUUCUGCCCUCCACAGGCCCUUGCUCUCACAUGGUUCACGCACGCGCGCAUGCAUACACACACACACACACACACACACACACACACACACACACACUGAGUCUUAGAAAAAGUGAUAUUGUCACUUUCUCUAGCACUAUCCUUGUUGAAUCCUGUGAGGUUUUCACAGCUCCCCUCUUCCUUCUCCAAGCACUGGUGUGGCUACCCAGCCCAAGAACCUCUGCCUGUACACUCAGGCAGUAUGUCUGGCUCACACUGGUAAAGGACAGGGGCUAAGGCUUGCUCCCCUAGGGAGAGGCCUAAUCAUCUCCCCUCCUUUUGGUCCUGAGCCCUCCUCCCUGCUCCCCCCUCUCCCAUGUGGCAGCCACAUGGUCCUGGAAUGGCCUGCACAGUGGAGCAAAAGCAAGACCUUCCUGUGUUUCUGGAGCUCCUUUUGUGGCUUUCUUGGGAGUGUGGACACAUCCAAGACUUGGUUUUGGACCUGGAGGCAGUAGAUGGAGCAGGUCUUUAGAGGAUUCUGGUUCUGGGCCAUUUGGACUGAUUUAUUUGGGCAAGACAUUUCUCCACGUCAUCUAGCAUGCCUCACUAGCGUUCUCAUUUGUAUAUUCUAUUUAAAUCUUAGAGGUCUUUUUUUUUUUAUCAAAGCAAUACAUGUACAUAUUUUGAAAGUAAAAUGUUCUACAAGGUUCAUAAUGAGAAGCACAGUUUCUGGCCAGUCCUGCUUGCUUCUGGGUCUUCUUCUGACACAAGCACUUUGAAGUAUUUUAACCUCAUUUUGUCUUUAUUUCCGUAUUUCCAAGUGGCAUGCUAAAGUGGACAUUUCUGGCAAAUUUUACCACCAGGUUCUGUCCAUCUUAUCACAGGAAGGCAAUUUUCAGCCCUCUCACACUACCAGUCUCCACAGACAGUCUCUAUUGCUGUGAAGAGACACCAUGAACUCGCAAAUCUAAUAAGGAAAGCAUUUAAUUGGGGGAUUGUUUACCAUUUCAGAGGGUUAGUGCAUGAUAAUCAUGACAGGGAUCAUCACAGAAGGCAGAAAAGCAUGGUGCUGGGUCAUCCUGAUCACAAGGUGGGGAGGCAGGGAGAGAGGGAGGGA